GACGAACCGUCCAAACGUUACUCGGAAUUACUGGGCUUAAAGGGUGCGUAGGCGGCGCGGAAAGUUGGGUGUGAAAUCCCUCGGCUCAACCGAGGAACUGCGCCCAAUACUACCGUGCUUGAGGGAGAUAGAGGUGAGCGGAACUUAGGGUGGAGCGGUGAAAUGCGUUGAUAUCCUAAGGAACACCGGUGGCGAAAGCGGCUCACUGGAUCUCUUCUGACGCUGAGGCACGAAAGCUAGGGUAGCGAACGGG
rnacentral:rRNA from 1 species